rnacentral:rRNA from 1 species
UAGGGAAUUUUGCGCAAUGGGCGAAAGCCUGACGCAGCAACGCCGCGUGAUUGAUUAAGCCCUUCGGGGUGUAAAGAUCUGUCAGUGGGGACGAAACUUGACGGUACCCACAGAGGAAGCACCGGCUAACUCCGUGCCAGCAGCCGCGGUAAUACGGAGGGUGCAAGCGUUGUCCGGAAUCAUUGGGCGUAAAGAGUUCGUAGGUGGCAUAUUAAGUCUGGUGUUAAAUGCAGAAGCUCAACUUCUGUUCGGCACUGGAUACUGGUAAGCUUGAAUGCGGUAGAGGUAAAGGGAAUUCCUGGUGUAGCGGUGAAAUGCGUAGAUAUCAGGAGGAACAUCGGUGGCGUAAGCGCUUUACUGGGCCGUAAUUGACACUGAGGAACGAAAGCCGGGGUAGCAAAUGGG